rnacentral:rRNA from 1 species
CCUACGGGAGGCUGCAGUGGGGAAUAUUGCACAAUGGGGGAAACCCUGAUGCAGCGACGCCGCGUGAGUGAAGAAGUAUUUCGGUAUGUAAAGCUCUAUCAGCAGGAACGAGACAAGCCGGUACUUGACUAAGAAGCCCCGGCUAACCACGUGCCAGCAGCCGCGGUAAUACGUAGGGGGAAAGCGUUAUCCGGAAUCACGGGGUGUAAUGGGAGCGUAGACGGCCGAGCAAGCCUGAAGUGAAAGGCGGGGGCCCAAUCCCCGGACUGCUUUGGAAACUGGACGGCUGGAGUGCAGGAGAGGUAAGCGGAAUUCCUAGUGUAGCGGUGAAAUGCGUAGAUAUUAGGAGGAACACCAGUGGCGAAGGCGGCUUACUGGACUGUAACUGACGUUGAGGCUCGAAAGCGUGGGGAGCAAACAGGAUUAGAUACCCGGGUAGUC